UUUUAUUUGCCAGUGUAGAAGGAUGCUGACUGAUGUAUCCGCCCCUUCCAGAGUUGGCCCAUAAAAGCAGCGCCUUCAUGGAUGUUAGCAGUGCCCCGAAAUAAUCGACUGGCUACAUGAUGCAGAUCUUCUCCUCCAUCCUGAUACUUUGUCUGGCCACAGCGGUGUACGGGUCCUUGAUUCCCAAUCUGAAUUUCGGCAACCUGUUCUCAUGUCCAGGCUUAUUUUGCCCGGGAUAUACCUUUCUUGCUCCUUUUCUCAGCUUUCUGUUUCCAAAUUCAAGUACCACAGCAACUACUAGCGCCAGUACAUCCACCGGGAAUGUCUCCGUUAAUUCGACUGGUUGAUCGAACACACGAUGAAGAACGUCCGGAAUGUUGUCACUCAGGAUGAUCAAUUGAGUGUCAAUGUACAGAAAUCCUCCGUUAUACAUAAUAAAUAAAUGCAUACCAUUUGCAAAAAAUAUAUUUAAAUUCUAAAUAAUCAGUGUGAGCAUGCUUGGCAUGGGUAUUAUUAUCAUGUGAGACAGCAACAUGUGAAAGCGAAAGCGAAGUCUUUCGAAUUUGCUUGCGGAAAAUGCUAAUAUUAACUGCCACAAAAUAGAGGUCUGUACUACCGGCAAAACAGUUUCAAAAACAUCAAGUUCACA